UCAACGACGUGACGUAUUUUAUUUAUUUAAAAAAAUGCCAAUAAUAAACAACAAAACAUUAUGAAAACAAUAGUAAAAAAUUCAUUUAAUAGCGCUUUAAUUAAGUAAAAUGGCGACUAACCGAUGUCUCAAUUACAUAAACACGCAUACAUGCUGUUGUCCGGGUUGUAUUGUAUAUAUUACGUUAAUCUUCACGGCUGUUAUUGUAGUUUUUGUAUUUUUAGUACAAUACCAUGCGACUAAGUGUGCACAUCCAUAACCGAAUAAAUAAAACAUCUUGAGAUUU